UAAGACAUGCUAGUCGAGCGUCUUCAGGCUAUGUUGAGGACGCGGCGUACGGCUCAGUAACACGUGGCCAACCUACCCUUAGGACGGAGACGACCCCGGGAAACUGGGGCUAAUCCCCGAUAGGUGAGGACGCCUGGAAUGGUCUCUCACCCAAAGGACGUUGAAACCAUGCUUUUCAGCGUUGCCUAAGGAUGGAGCCGCGGCCGAUCAGGUUGUUGGUGAGGUAACGGCUCACCAAGCCUAUAACCGGUACGGGCCAUGAGAGUGGGAGCCCGGAGAUGGGCACUGAGACAAGGGCCCAGGCCCUACGGGGCGCAGCAGUUGCGAAACCUCCACAAUGCACGAAAGUGCGAUGGGGCUAACCCGAGUGCCGUCCGCUGAGGAGGGCUUUUCUCCGCUGUAAGGAGGCGGAGGAAUAAGGAGAGGGCAAGACUGGUGUCAGCCGCCGCGGUAAUACCAGCUCUCCGAGUGGUAGGGACGAUUAUUGGGCCUAAAGCGUUCGUAGCCGGCUUGGCAAGUCUUUCGUUAAAUCCAGUGACCUAAUCGCUGGGCUGCGGGAGAUACUGUCAGGCUUGGGAGCGGAAGAGGUCGACGGUAUUCUCGGGGUAGGGGUGAAAUCCU
rnacentral:rRNA from 1 species